GUGGGGAAUAUUGGGCAAUGGGGGAAACCCUGACCCAGCAACGCCGCGUGAAGGAAGAAGGUUUUCGGAUCGUAAACUUCUAUCCUUGGUGAAGAUAAUGACGGUAGCCAAGAAGGAAGCCCCGGCUAACUACGUGCCAGCAGCCGCGGUAAUACGUAGGGGGCAAGCGUUGUCCGGAAUGAUUGGGCGUAAAGGGCGCGUAGGCGGCCUGGUAAGUCUGGAGUGAAAGUCCUGCUUUUAAGGUGGGAAUUGCUUUGGAUACUGUCGGGCUUGAGUGCAGGAGAGGUAAGCGGAAUUCCCGGUGUAGCGGUGAAAUGCGUAGAGAUCGGGAGGAACACCAGUGGCGAAGGCGGCUUACUGGACUGUAACUGACGCUGAGGCGCGAAAGUGUGGGGAGCAAACAGGAUUAGAAACCCCAGUAGUCC
rnacentral:rRNA from 1 species